CAGGGGUUCGAUCAUGGCUCAGAUUGAACGCUGGCGGGAUGCUACACAUGCAGUCAGACGGCAGCACGGACUUCGGUCUGGUGGCAGUGGCGAACGGGUGGUAAUGUAUCGGAACGUGCCUAGUAGCGGGGGAUAACUACGCGGCGUAGCCUAAUACCGCAUACGCCCUUCGGGGAAAGCGGGGGACCUUCGGGCCUCGCACUAUUAAACUGACCGAUAUCGGAUUGGCUAGUUAGUGGGGUAACGGCUCACCGGGCGACGAUCCGUAGCUGGUUUAGAGAGGACGACCAGCCACACUGGGACUGAGACACGGCCCAGACUCCUACGGGAGGCAGCAGUGGGGAAUUUUGGCGGACAAUGGGGAAACCCUGAUCCAGCCAUCCGCGUGUGCGAUGAAGGCCUUCGGGUUGUAAAAGCACUUUUGGCGGGAAAGAAACAGCUGCGGGAUAAUACCCCGUGCAACUGACGGUACCUGCAGAAUAAGCGCAAUAACUGCGUGCCAGCAGCCGCGGUAAUACGUAGAGAUUGCAAGCGUUAAUCGGAAUUACUGGGCGUAAAAGCGUGCGCAGGCGGUUCCGGAAAGAAAGAUGUGAAAUCCCAGAGCUUAACUUUGGAACUGCAUUUUUUAACUACCGAGCUAGAGUGUGUCAGAGGAAGUGGAAUUCCGCGUGUAGCAGUGAAAUGCGUAGAUAUGCGGAGGAACACCGAUGGCGAGGCAGCCUCUGGGAUAACACUGACGCUCAUGCACAGCGAUGGGGAGCAAACAGGAUCAGAUACCCUGGUAGUCCACGCCUAAACGACGUCAACUAGCUGUUGGGGCCUUCGGGCCUUGGUAGCGCAGCUAACGCGCGUGAAGUUGACCGCCUGGGGAAGUACGGUCGCAAGAUUAAAACUCAAAGGAAAUUGACGGGGACCACGCAAGCGGUGGAUGAUGUGGAUUAAUUCGAUGCAACACCAUACUUCUAUGACAUGUCUGGAAUCGAAGAGAUUUGGGAGUGCUCGCAAGAGAACCGGAACACAGGUGCUGCAUAGCUGUCGUCAGCUCGUGUCGUGAGAUGUUGGGUUAAGUCCCGCAACGAGCGCAACCCGCUUGUCAUUAGUUGCUACGAAAGGGCACUCUAAUGAGACUGCCGGUGACAAACCGGAGGAAGGUGGGGAUGACGUCAAAGUCCUCAUGGCCCUUAUGGGUAGGGCUUCACACGUCAUACAAUGGUCGGAGACAGAGGGUCGCCAACCCGCGGGGAACCAAUCCCAGAAACCCGAUCGUAGUCCGGAUCGCAGUCUGCAACUCGACUGCGUGGAAGUCGGAGUCGCUGGUAAUCGCGGAUCAGCGUAAUAAACGGUGAAUACGAUUCCCGGGUCUUGUACACACCGCCCGUCACACCAUGGGAGUGGGUUUUACCAGAAGUAGUUAGCCUAACCGUAAGGAGGGCGAUUACCACGGUAGGAUUCAUGACUGGGGUGAAGUCGUAACUGGGUAG
rnacentral:rRNA from 1 species